GCCUAGAUAGCCCAGUUGGGAGAGCGCUAGACUAUAAAUCGAAAAGUUUCUGGUCCGAUCCUGGCCUUCGAGUUU
rnacentral:tRNA from 1 species